GAUGAACGCUGGCGGCGUGCUUAACACAUGCAAGUCGAACGAUGAAGCCCAGCUUGCUGGGUGGAUUAGUGGCGAACGGGUGAGUAACACGUGAGUAACCUGCCCUUAACUCUGGGAUAAGCCUGGGAAACUGGGUCUAAUACCGGAUAGGAGCGUCCACCGCAUGGUGGGUGUUGGAAAGAUUUAUCGGUUUUGGAUGGACUCGCGGCCUAUCAGCUUGUUGGUGAGGUAAUGGCUCACCAAGGCGACGACGGGUAGCCGGCCUGAGAGGGUGACCGGCCACACUGGGACUGAGACACGGCCCAGACUCCUACGGGAGGCAGCAGUGGGGAAUAUUCCACAAUGGGCGAAAGCCUGAUGCAGCGACGCCGCGUGAGGGAUGACGGCCUUCGGGUUGUAAACCUCUUUCAGUAGGGAAGAAGCGAAAGUGACGGUACCUGCAGAAGAAGCACCGGCUAACUACGUG
rnacentral:rRNA from 1 species